rnacentral:rRNA from 1 species
AGCGUAGGUGGAUAUUUAAGUGGGAUGUGAAAUACUCGGGCUUAACCUGAGUGCUGCAUUCCAAACUGGAUAUCUAGAGUGCAGGAGAGGAAAGUAGAAUUCCUAGUGUAGCGGUGAAAUGCGUAGAGAUUAGGAAGAAUACCAGUGGCGAAGGCGACUUUCUGGACUGUAACUGACACUGAGGCUCGAAAGCGUGGGGAGCAAACA